rnacentral:rRNA from 1 species
AGGACGAACGCUGGCGGCGUGCUUAACACAUGCAAGUCGAGCGGAAAGGCCCUUCGGGGUACUCGAGCGGCGAACGGGUGAGUAACACGUGAGUAAUCUGCCCCUAGCUCUGGGAUAGCUCCGGGAAACCGGGAUUAAUACCGGAUACGACCACUUUAGACAUCUGUUGUGGUGGAAAGAAUUUUGGCUAGGGAUGAGCUCGCGGCCUAUCAGCUUGUUGGCGGGGUAACGGCCUACCAAGGCGACGACGGGUA